UUUCAUGUCUUUUGUAUUAAAGAAUUAAAUGGAUGAAAUAUGAAGUUUUAUUAAAAGAAAAAGGGGUGAAAAGAACAAAGUUUUGUCCAUCUUUGUUCAUCAUAGCUGAAAGUUAGAGAAGAGAAAGGAGAGGAGAAAGCUCUUGAGUGUUCGGUCACUUGGGGAAGAAAAUUGAAGGAAAUCCCCAACCAUAGUGGGUUUGGAGCUGUGAGGGAAUUCGGAGUGGCCACCCGUUCUGAAAGUUUGAUUUUCUUCUGGUGAACUGGACAUCCUUUUAUUUACGUUUCAAGUUUUGGGGCUUUUAAAUGUAAUAAGGCCGCUUAAUUAUUUUUAUGGUUUUAAUAUGUAUUACUAAGAUAGGUAAUACUUAUAUUUAACUGUUGAAAUUGGAUAGCUUUAGGGCGCGUUUUCAAAAACAACAGUUGAUUUCAAAAUAACACGACAACAAGCAAAGCUUCCGCAAUGAAA